UUCAUUUCCGAAAUUACCCCAGUUAGGAAAUUAGGAAAACCCACGCAACACCCGACCUAUAAACUCUGAAAUUUGGGAACUCCGUGACUCUCUCUCCUUUUGCCCUAACGUGAUCUGCAAUUUCAUGGAUCGUUUCUGGAAACCGCGGUGGAGCUUGGUCUUCCUUUUGGAGUAAUCGCAGGUCUGUCCCAGACCAGCAAGGGCAUGCCCAACAUAGAAUGCAAAGGAAGAACACAGUGGAUAUAGCAGAAGUCAAAAGGUUGACCAAGGCAGUUUUUCAGACAUGCAACAAGAAAGUGACAGAUGCUAUUGAAUCUGGGUAUUGGUGGGAAGGAGAGGAAAAGAAUGAUGAUGACUGCAGUUGAAGGUACAUAAUGGUAGUGAAAGUUUCAGAUGAUAGUGGUGAAGCUAUCCUUUCUCUGUUCAAUGAACAAGCAGAGAGAAUAUUUGGGUGCUCUGCUGAUGAGCUUGAUAAGCUGAAACCACAGGAGGGAGAGGAAAAACGAUUCCAACAUAAAAUGAAGGACGCUAUUUGGGUCCCUAAUCUUUUCCAGAUUAUUGUUGCACAGCAUGAAUACAAGAAUGAGAAAAGGCAAUGGAUCACAGCCAGGGCUGUUGUGCAAGAUGAUUUUGAAGCUGAAUCCAGAUUCUUGUUGGACGAGAUAUCAAAGAUGAAGACAUCACAAUAGGCUCCUUGGUUUAUUUUGUUAUUUGGAUAAGGGUAGUUAAGCAGUAUGCCUUUAGUUCCCUUUAUAUCUUAAGACACAUCCCAUUAAAUAUAGAGGAAGCUUGAGGACUGUAAUAUAUACAGUAAUGGUAUCUGCAUGCUCAAGAAACUCUGUCUAAUCAAUCUUAUUCACAAAUGUUCGUGUAAUUGGGGAAAGUCCUUUUGUUGCAUAUAUAACUUAUGUUUUUGUUUUUA